AUUGAACGCUGGCGGCAGGCCUAAUACAUGCAAGUCGAGCGGAUGAAGGGAGCUUGCUCCUGGAUUCAGCGGCGGACGGGUGAGUAAUGCCUAGGAAUCUGCCUGGUAGUGGGGGAUAACGUCCGGAAACGGGCGCUAAUACCGCAUACGUCCUGAGGGAGAAAGUGGGGGAUCUUCGGACCUCACGCUAUCAGAUGAGCCUAGGUCGGAUUAGCUAGUUGGUGGGGUAAAGGCCUACCAAGGCGACGAUCCGUAACUGGUCUGAGAGGAUGAUCAGUCACACUAGAACUGAGACACGGUCCAGACUCCUACGGGAGGCAGAAGUGGGGAAUAUUGGACAAUGGGCGAAAGCCUGAUCCAGCCAUGCCGCGUGUGUGAAGAAGGUCUUCGGAUUGUAAAGCACUUUAAGUUGGGAGGAAGGGCAGUAAGUUAAUACCUUGCUGUUUUGACGUUACCAACAGAAUAAGCACCGGCUAACUUCGUG
rnacentral:rRNA from 1 species